rnacentral:lncRNA from 1 species
AUGCCCUGGGCUGGGCAGGUCUGCUCGGAAAGCGACAGGGUGUCUAGACGGCCACGUGACGAGGCCGGAGCCGGGCGCGCCACUGCGCAGUGGAACCAGCCGAGCAGAGGGCCCGAGGGGGGAGCGGGGGGCGGGGAGGAGGCGGCGGCGGCGGCGGCGGCGGCGGCGGCGGCCGGGGCGGGGGAGCGGAGGGGAGCGGAGGGGAGGGGAGGGGAGGGGAGGGGAGGGGGCGGGGGCGGGAGGCCUUGCGGGAGGCGGCGAGCCGCGGGCACACUCGCUGCCCGGCUCGGCGCACGGAGCACCCUGCCCCCGAGCCGCGCCAGCCGCGCCAGCCGCGCCAGCCGGGCGCCCUGCUCGGUCCGCUCGCCCGCGGGAGAGAGCUGCGGACACCGAGCCAGCCCGCCGGCGCCGAGCUGCCGAGCUGCCGAGCGGCCGAGCUGCCGAGCGGCCGAGCUGCCGAGCGCCCGGCCCCGGAGACCCUGCGCGCGGCGCGGCGAGCCCCCGGCGGCGGCAGGAGGACCGAGCGCCAGGAGAGGGCGGCCGGGGGACAAGGAGGCUCCGGGCGCGACGAGGAGAGUCUCGAGGAGGAGGCGGCGCGAGGACACCGGGCCUGCUCGCGGCCGCAGCCGGGUGGCGGCGAGCAGCUCCUGGGGGGCGUCCCGGCGGCCAGCCGCGGCCGGGGGGGGGGCGCCGGCGGCCCCCGAGUUAGCGAGCAGCAGCCUGCGCCCAGGAGGGCGAGAGCGCGCGACCCGCCGGGGCCCGCCGCCGCCGCCGCCGCCGCGCCGCCCUCCCCCGCGCUGUCAGCCCCGCCGGGCGCAGCCGCCGCCGCCGCCGCCGCCGCCGCCGCAGCAUCUUCUGCCCCUGCGCCCCCGCCAGCCCCGAGGAAGUCCCCGCCGAGGACCGGGGCCCCCGGGAGCGCGGGAGGAAAGACCAGACUCCCCUAAGACACCCAGAUGCCGAGGAUCGAAGCCGCCCAGCCGGAGCUCUCUGUGGAUUAAAAAAUAUAUACGAUUUUUUUUUUUUUUUUCCCCCUUGGCAGAAGAAAAGGAGAGGAAGACCAGCGGGGCUCUGCGAGGAAAAAAAGGGGGAUGUAACUCGUGGAUACGUUUCUCUUCCCACCCCUCAAACGUCUUGUCCUACUUUGUAAACAUUUUCUUUUUUUGAGCCCCAGCUCCAGCCGGACGCCCCCAGAGCUCCGGGGGCGCGAGGAGGUGGCGGCUUUUCCUUUCGGGCUUUGUACGUCUGGCUCGUAGACCUGGGAGAGCCGCCCCGUUCCGCCAGGCAUCUCAUGCGGGGUGAAGUCCGCGCGGCCCCCUCCCCCGAGUCUUCGUGUGCACGGAAUUCGAGGAGAUCCGGUUACUAAGGAUAUAGAGGAAAAAAAUAAAUCGCGUGCUUGCUCCUUUUUUUUUUUUUUU